rnacentral:piRNA from 1 species
UACCGUACUUAUCCUAGACUGGGAUCUUCC